AACCCGGGAGGCAGAGGUUGAAGUGAGCUGAGAUGGGCUGAAAUCUGCUUCCUGGGAACACUUAUCUUGUUGAUUUGGCACCAUGCACCACAUGAAGUGAGUUCUGAUUCCUCUUCCUUAUAAAAGCUCUUAAACUGUCCAAAGAUGGCCAUUCUGUCCCUUUGAGUCACUUCAUCUGACACAGAAUCUGCAGUUUCUCUACCUGUUCAUGCCCCAGGCAAAGCUUCCAGCACUCAGCACUUCACUGGCUAGGCUUUCAUGUUUGCAAGGGUGCUGACACAUCUCAUCUUUCUAUGUCAGUGGAAGAAAAGAGACGGUUCAGAGCUGGCCUGCAGUGACAGAGGAACAAGGCCUGUUUGCGGUGGAUAUGAUUGGAUGGCCAGGACAGGAAGCCAGGACCUGGAAGGAGAGCAAACAAAAUGAGUUUUUCAAAAAGCUAGAUGACAGUGGAACCAUGCAGAGAUGAAAAACGGUGCAACAGGAAACUAGGAAAGCAGAAAACAGAAAUAGUGUAAUUUCGUAACAUUAACAGAGGAGAAAGCCAGCCACCAUGUCACAAGGCCACUCAAGCAGCCCUGUGGAGAGGUCCAUGUGGCAAGGGGCUGAGGCCUCUUAACGUCAACUUGCCAGUGAUGUCAGUGAGCCAUCAUGGAAGCAGAUCCCCCAGCCCCAUUGAAGCCCACAGUUGACUGUAGCCUCAGCCAACAUCUUUACUGCAAGGCACCCUGCCAGACCACCCAGCUAAACCGCUUAAUUCCUAACCUGCAGAAACUAAGAUAAUGAAUGUUACUAUUACAGAUUGUUGUGGUUUAAAUUUUGUUGCCAGGAUUGAGGGGCAUUUAUUGUGGAACAAUGGAUAACAAAUACAAAUGUUAUGGAAUCACACCGUGAUAUUUUAGCUUGCUUGUUUUUAUAAAGAGGUGGAAAUGCCCAUGUCAUAACCUUCUCAGGAGCUCUAGUUCACAAUCUAUGUGAAUGCUCUGUAUUUGGCACACAGCAAGUACUCCACAAACACUUGUUGCAGC
rnacentral:lncRNA from 10 species